rnacentral:rRNA from 1 species
AUUGAACGCUGGCGGCGUGCCUAACACAUGCAAGUCGAGCGGUAACGCGGGAGCAAUCCUGGCGACGAGCGGCGAACGGGUGAGUAAUGCUUCGGAAUCUGCCCAAUGGUGGGGAAUAACCAACCGAAAGGUUGGCUAAUACCGCAUAAGUCCUAAGGGAGAAAGCGGGGGAUCGUAAGACCUCGCGCCGAUGGAUGAGCCGAAGUCGGAUUAGCUAGUUGGUAGGGUAACGGCCUACCAAGGCGACAAUCCGUAGCUGGUCUGAGAGGACGACCAGCCACACUGGGACUGAGACACGGCCCAGACUCCUACGGGAGGCAGCAGUGGGGAAUAUUGGACAAUGGGGGAAACCCUGAUCCAGCGACGCCGCGUGUGUGAAGAAGGCCUGCGGGUUUGUAAAGCACUUUUAGUGGGGAUGAAAAGCUCAGGGCUAAUACCCUUGGGUCUUGACCUAACCCACAGAAAAGCACCGGCUAACUCUGUGCCAGCCGCCGCCGUAAU